AGAUUGAACGCUGGCGGCAUGCUUUACGCAUGCAAGUCGAACGGCAGCGCGGGGCAACCUGGCGGCGAGUGGCGAACGGGUGAGUAAUAUAUCGGAACGUACCCAAGAGUGGGGGAUAACGUAGCGAAAGUUACGCUAAUACCGCAUACGAUCUAAGGAUGAAAGCGAGGGGACCGCAAGGCCUUGUGCUCCUGGAGCGGCCGAUAUCUGAUUAGCUAGGUUGGUAGGGUAAGCCUACCGAAGGCUACGAUCAGUAGCUGGUCUGAGAGGACGACCAGCCACACUGGAACUGAGACACGGUCCAGACUCCGUACGGGAGGCACGGCAGGUAGGGGUAAUUUUGGGACAAGUGGGUUGACGAAG
rnacentral:rRNA from 1 species